rnacentral:rRNA from 1 species
UCGACCUGAGGUCAGGCAAGAACACCCG